GGAUGAUGUUGGAUCAUUGAUGACCAAAAAAAAAAAACAUCUGGGAGUCCUCUGAGACAUCCAUGAUGACCACAACAUUGGGAGUCUGAGGUCCACAUCAGAAUCUAUGCACUGCAUGCUGGGUUCCUGGUGAGAGAUGUUAGAAAUAGACUAAUUUGAAUAAGGAGUUUACAUGUAGAUUAAUUAAAAUUUGGAAAUCGUGUCUACUGACACAUAAUCCCAUAAGUAGAGUGCAAAUCAUUUUGACCGGGUAGAUCUGAGCCAGAAACGAUGACAGAGGAAUCCCCAUAAGCCAUGGAAAAUCAUUGUCUAUGUUCCUGUUGACAUCAGAGUCAUGGUGGUUUUAUGGGUCAGGAAGAGCCAAUCCAAGUGGAUUGAUAGCUCAAGCAAGGGAUUGGAUAGAGGAGAAGUGAUCAAGGCAGAAUGCUGUAAAUUAUGGAUGAGUAAAGAGAAAGUUAAUCUUUUUGUCAUUUUUUUUCUGCCUUUUACUCCCAGAAUACAUACCUCCACGGUGAUUUCAGAGUUCUUCCUCAGUCCUGAGGUUUGGGAUUCCCGGUUUGUGUCAGUAGAAUUGCGAGAGUGUGAGUUCAUCCUAUUUUCUUCAGUACGAUUUUUUUUUCUUGAUGUAAUGCCUCUUCCCCUAUGAGUUGAUAAUCUUGGGAGAGCAACCGUAGACAUUGGUUAAUUAAGGAACGCAUACUAAAAAUAUAUGUUCCCUGAACUGAUACCUUCGAAGAGUAUGCAAUGACAGAGGUAAUGACCUUUGCCAAAGAUGCUCUAGAGUUUAAAGUCCACUCAAGCAUCUGGUAGUUAAUGUUAGUUUUCAAUGGAAAUCUAACCACCAGUACUAGUGUUAAGCUUCUCAAUAAAUGCAGCACAGUUUAGAGCCUGGGGGUGAUGAUGUUGGAUCAUUGAUGACCAUAAAAGAUGUGGGAGUCGUCUGAAACAUGCAUGAUGACCACAACUUUGCGAGUCUGAGGUCCACAUCAUAAUCUAUGCACUGCAUGCUGGGAUCCUGGUGAGAGAUGUUAGGAACAGUCUACUUUGAAUAUGGAGUUUUAAUGUAGAUUAAAGAAAAAAUUGGAAAUUGUGUCUACUAAGACAUAAACCCAUAGGAAGAGUGCUAAUCAUCUUGACCGGGUAGUAUCUGAGUCAGAAACGAUGACAGAGGGAUCCCAAUAAGCCAUGGAAAGUCAUUGUCUUUGUUCCUGGUGACGUCAGAGUCAUGGGUUUUGAUGUGUCAGGAAGACCAAUCCAAUUGGAUUGAUAGCUCAAGCAAAGGAUUGGAUAGAGGAGAAGUGAUCAAGGCAGAUAGAUGUAAAUUAUGGAUGAGUGAAGAGAAAGUUAAUCUUUUUGUCAUUUUUUUUUCUGCAUUUUACUCUCAGAAAAGAUACCUCCAAGGUGAUCUCCAAGUUCUUCCUCAGUCUUGAGGUUUGGGAUUCCCGGUUUUUGUCAGUAGAAUUGUGAGAGUGUGAGUUCAUCCUAUUUUCUUCAGAACGAUUUCUUUCUUGCAUGUAUUCCCUCUUCCUGUAUGAAUUUAGUAUCUUGGGAGAGCAUCUGUAGACAGUGGUUCAAUAAGGAACGCAAAAUAAUAUGUUCCAUGAACCGAUUUCUAUGAAGAGUAUGCAAUGACAGAGGUAGUGACCACUGCCAAAGAUGCUCUAGAGUUUAAAGUCCACUCAAGCAUCUGGUAGUUAAUGUUAGUUGUCAAUGGAAAUCUGACCAGCAGUACUAGUGAUCAGCUGCUCAAUAAAUGGAGCACAAUUUAG
rnacentral:lncRNA from 1 species